AAUGCGUAGAGAUGUGGAGGAACACCGAUGGCGAAGGCAGCCCCCUGGGUUGACACUGACGCUCAUGCACGAAAGCGUGGGGAGCAAACAGGAUUAGAUACCCUGGUAGUCCACGCCCUAAACGAUGCCAACUAGGUGUUGGGGAAGGAGACUUUCUUAGUACCGUAGCUAACGCGUGGAGUUGGCCGCCUGGGGAGUACGGUCGCAAGAUUAAAACUCAAAGGAAUUGACGGGGACCCGCACAAGCGGUGGAUGAUGUGGAUUAAUUCGAUGCAACGCGAAAAACCUUACCUACCCUUGACAUGCCAGGAACCCUGCUGAGAGGUGGGGGUGCCCGAAAGGGAGCCUGGACACAGGUGCUGCAUGGCUGUCGUCGGCUCGUGUCGUGAGAUGUUGGGUUAAGUCCCGCAACGAGCGCAACCCUUGUCAUUAGUUGCCAUCAUUGAGUUGGGCACUCUAAUGAGACUGCCGGUGACAAACCGGAGGAAGGUGGGGAUGACGUCAAGUCCUCAUGGCCCUUAUGGGUAGGGCUUCACACGUCAUACAAUGGUACAUACAGAGGGCCGCCAACCCGCGAGGGGGAGCUAAUCCCAGAAAGUGUAUCGUAGUCCGGAUCGCAGUCUGCAACUCCCACUGCGUGAAGUUGGAAUCGCUAGUAAUCGCGCAUCAGCAUGCCCCGGUGAAUACGUUCCCGGGUCU
rnacentral:rRNA from 1 species